GCCUGGCUAGCUCAGUCGGUAGAGCAUGAAACUCUUAAUCUCAGGGUCGUGGGUUUGAGCCCGACGUUGGGCG
rfam:Salmo salar isolate Sally breed double haploid chromosome ssa12, whole genome shotgun sequence.